rnacentral:SRP_RNA from 1 species
UGUUUGGGCCCUACGCAAUCUUAGUCAGUGAACCGUGUCAGGUCCGGAAGGAAGCAGCACUAAGUUGAUGAUGAUGUGCCGUAGAUCAGUCUAAACAACUU